rnacentral:lncRNA from 1 species
CUUUAUUUGGGAGGGCUUCCUGGAGGUGGUAGCCUCAAGUUCUGAUGAACAGAAGACAGAGACAGUAAUGAGGGAGAAAUAAGAGUGAUAACUUGGUUAAAAUUAGCAUGGCAGCAACAGCCAAGGGGCAGAAGGAGAAAGGUGUGAAGGCCUUGGUCAGAAAUGGAUCCAAUUAGCCCUGGAAGAUGUUGGUGGGGCCGGGGCAAAGCUGGAUGUGCAGUGUCACAUUGACCAGAACAGUGGAGCUGAAGAAGCUGAGGUCUACGAGGAUCAGACUUAGAACCCUCACAGAGAUGAUACGGUUGUCGUAAUGAGGGUGUUUCAGUGCCUCUGCAACGCUGCUGGCCCCUUCGGAGGGCCCCAGCAGUAUUGCUUUUCAAAGCCCUUCACUUGCACGGUCUCAUUUGUGUGCAAUGAGACCCUGUGCGCAAAUGAGGCAUUAUCUCCAUGCAUAAGGAAUGGAGGGACCAGUGUCACAGAAAAAGGGUUCCCCUGCUGAAGGUUGCACAACUAGUUAGCACAGGGUCAUAACAGACCCAGGGCUCUUGACGCCAUAGCUUCAUCUGAGCUCCACCACCCCUUUGGUGUGUCCACCCCAUGCUCUGUGGAGCCACAGAAGGAAGAAGAGGGUCCCUAGGUCCUGCUCUGCCCCUGGCUUUGCUCCUGCCCCUGUUCUGCUCCAGGCUUUCUCCUCCAGAAACAUCAAGUGGGUCACUGGGCAUUUCUGGUCCCUUCCCCACACCUGCCCAUUCUGUUACACCCCAAAGUCUGGAGAAAUCUAUUUUCUGACUUUCUAAUUUCUGUCUCUUGCUGUACAAUAAAUAUGCCACUCUUUUCUGCCUCCUCCCCUGCCCCAAGGAAUCAGCCACGAGGUAACUGACUCCCUGCGUCUAAUCUGAGACCUUUCUGGCACUUUG